AAGGUACUCCCUCCGUUCGGAAUUACUUGUCUCGGAAAUGGAUGUAUCUAGAACUAAAAUACGUCUAGAUACAUCUAUUUCUACGACAAGUAAUUCCGAACGGAGGGAGUAUAUG
rnacentral:pre_miRNA from 1 species